AAAAUAUUACGUAUUAUGUAAUUUACAAAAUUGUGCUUCCUUUUUUAACUUUUAAAUUUUAUUCCAUUUUAUUGUAAGGCAAUAUUACAAUCCAGUUUCUAAGUUUAAACUUGCGCGCACGUUUAUUCUGAACGCACCGCAGUGACUGUAAAAAAAAAAGUUCCAUUCGCUGGUUGGCUACGUGUACAGUACAUACAUACAUUGAUUGUGCUUAGGGUUUUGCUCAUGCAAUCCUAUUAUAAUUCGUUAAGUUAACUAUAUUGCAGAGUAGAAGGUUGAACGAGUCCGUACCAAUUAAGAAAAAGAAGAAAGUGAUUGGAGGGAUAAUUAAAUUAUUUGGAGGUUCAUUUGACGCGUUUUUGCACGAAAUGAACGAAUCUGGCAGAAAAAAGUGUCGGACUGACCCGCGAAUCGAGAUAUCAAGCUUUAAAGUUGACGACUAUUUAGGUUAGGAUAUCUAAUCUAACGUUUGACUACGAAGAUAUUCGAUUCGCCAGUCAGAUAUUCGGAAGAAACGUAUACUUGUAAGUCGCGCUAAUGGCGAUGAAGUUUGUUAUAUCACGUUAAUAAUAAUAA